rnacentral:rRNA from 3 species
UGGGGAAUAUUGGACAAUGGGCGAAAGCCUGAUCCAGCAAUGCCGCGUGAGUGAUGAAGGCCUUAGGGUUGUAAAGCUCUUUUACCCGGGAUGAUAAUGACAGUACCGGGAGAAUAAGCCCCGGCUAACUCCGUGCCAGCAGCCGCGGUAAUACGGAGGGGGCUAGCGUUGUUCGGAAUUACUGGGCGUAAAGCGCACGUAGGCGGCUUUGUAAGUUAGAGGUGAAAGCCCGGGGCUCAACUCCGGAAUUGCCUUUAAGACUGCAUCGCUAGAAUUGUGGAGAGGUAAGUGGAAUUCCGAGUGUAGAGGUGAAAUUCGUAGAUAUUCGGAAGAACACCAGUGGCGAAGGCGACUUACUGGACACAUAUUGACGCUGAGGUGCGAAAGCGUGGGGAGCAAACAGG